rnacentral:rRNA from 1 species
AUUGAACGCUGGCGGCAGGCCUAACACAUGCAAGUCGAACGAGUGGCGGACGGGUGAGUAAUAUAUCGGAACGUGCCCAGUAGAGGGGGAUAACUACUCGAAAGAGUGGCUAAUACCGCAUACCAUCGGAGCGGCCGAGAUCGGAUUAGCUAGUUGGUGGGGUAAAGGCUCACCAAGGCAACGAUCCGUAGCUGGUCUGAGAGGACGACCAGCCACACUGGAACUGAGACACGGCCCAGACUCCUACGGGAGGCAGCAGUGGGGAAUUUUGGACAAUGGGGGAAACCCUGAUCCAGCCAUCCCGCGUGUAUGAGAAGGCCUUCGGGUUGUAAAGUACUUUUGGCAGAGAAGCGUUAUCUGCAGAAUAAGCACCGGCUAACUACGUGCCAGCAGCCGCGGUAAUAC